rnacentral:rRNA from 1 species
AUUGAACGCUGGCGGCAUGCUUUACACAUGCAAGUCGAACGGUAACAGGCCGCAAGGCGCUGACGAGUGGCGAACGGGUGAGUAAUGCAUCGGAACGUGCCCAGUCGUGGGGGAUAACGCAGCGAAAGCUGCGCUAAUACCGCAUACGAUCUAUGGAUGAAAGCGGGGGACCGUAAGGCCUCGCGCGAUUGGAGCGGCCGAUGUCAGAUUAGGUAGUUGGUGGGGUAAAGGCUCACCAAGCCAACGAUCUGUAGCUGGUCUGAGAGGACGACCAGCCACACUGGGACUGAGACACGGCCCAGACUCCUACGGGAGGCAGCAGUGGGGAAUUUUGGACAAUGGGCGCAAGCCCGAUCCAGCAUGCCGCGUGCAGGAAGAAGGCCUUCGGGUUGUAAACUGCUUUUGUACGGAACGAAACGGCUCUGGUUAAUACCUGGGGCUAAUGACGGUACCGUAAGAAUAAGCACCGGCUAACUACGUGCCAGCAGCCGCGGUAAAAC